rnacentral:tRNA from 1 species
CAAGAAAUAGUUUAAAAAAAAUUUUAAUUUUGGAGAUUAAUAUUAGGGGUUAUCCUUUUCUUGA